rnacentral:rRNA from 1 species
UACGUAGGCAGCGAGCGUUGUUCGGAGUUACUGGGCGUAAAGAGUGUGUAGGCGGUUCUCCAAGUUUGGUGUGAAAUCUCCCGGCUCAACUGGGAGGGUGCGCCGAAAACUGGAGGGCUUGAGUGUGGGAGAGGAAAGCGGAAUUCCUGGUGUAGCGGUGAAAUGCGUAGAUAUCAGGAGGAACACCUGUGGUGUAGACAGCUUUCUGGACCACGACUGACGCUGAGACACGAAAGCGUGGGUAGCAAACAGG